GUGGGGAAUCUUGCGCAAUGGGCGAAAGCCUGACGCAGCCAUGCCGCGUGAAUGAUGAAGGUCUUAGGAUUGUAAAAUUCUUUCACCGGGGACGAUAAUGACGGUACCCGGAGAAGAAGCUCCGGCUAACUUCGUGCCAGCAGCCGCGGUAAUACGAAGGGGGCUAGCGUUGCUCGGAAUUACUGGGCGUAAAGGGCGCGUAGGCGGACAGCUUAGUCAGAGGUGAAAGCCCAGGGCCAAACCUUGGAAUUGCCUUUGAUACUGGGUGGCUGGAGUUUGGGAGAGGUGAGUGGAACUCCGAGUGUAGAGGUGAAAUGCGUAGAUAUUCGGAAGAACACCAGUGGCGAAGGCGACUCACUGGCCCGUUACUGACGCUGAGGCGCGAAAGCGUGGGGAGCAAACAGGAUUAGAAACCCUGGUAGUCC
rnacentral:rRNA from 1 species